rnacentral:lncRNA from 1 species
CACGAACGACAUUCCCUUUAACCGCAGUACGAAAUGCGGAUAACCCCCAAAACCAAUCGCUGGUCGACUUGCGGUUACCACCAGCCGCUGAUCCAGCUGCGUCGCUACCAUAUCUGCACUUCUUAGUGCAGGAGGAGUUAACCUUGCAUCUCGCAAAAUUUCCAUGCACACAGAUCAUACAUCCCAAUUCAUACACCCACUUAAUUUCUA